rnacentral:rRNA from 1 species
UACGUAGGGUGCGAGCGUUGUCCGGAAUUAUUGGGCGUAAAGGGCUCGUAGGCGGUUUGUCGCGUCGGGAGUGAAAACGCCGUGCUUAACACGGCGCUUGCUUUCGAUACGGGCAGACUAGAGGUAUGCAGGGGAGAACGGAAUUCCUGGUGUAGCGGUGAAAAUGCGCAGAUAUCAGGAGGAACACCGGUGGCGAAGGCGGUUCUCUGGGCAUUACCUGACGCUGAGGAGCGAAAGUGUGGGGAGCGAACAGG